AUGGGUGAGACUUGGAACCUAAAAUGCGUGGACUUGAAGGAUAAAGUAGUCACAUAUGUUGGUAAGAGUUUCUUUCUAGAUUGAUUGAUCUCACUACAUUGGAUCUCUAAAUAAAGUGUAUGUUUUUUUCUCGCGGGUCUGUAGUUUAUCAGCUUUCACAGGUUCACAGCGUCUAGGCUCAGCGACAAAUCUGCCUAAACCACAGGUAACAGGGUCCAUUUUUAGUUCUUUUAUUUCUUACAACUCGAGGUGGUUCUCAUUCUAGCGGCCCCUAUAUAUAUAUAUAUAUAUAUCAAAAUCGAAGUAAUUAGGUAAUCCAUUUCAUUUUGUUGUGAAUGGUUCGGUCGGUUCGGUUAUUAUCCUCAACCGAAGCCGAAACCAAAGUCAUCGGUUAGUUUUUUUAUUAAUCAAUUGGUUUUUGGUUAAUCACUUCGGUUUAUUCGGUUAGAUUGAGGAUUUUUGGUUUGGUUUAUUUGAUUUUAGUUAAUAGCAAAAACUAAACUUGAGCUAAAACUUUUGCUUAGAAAUAUAUGAAAUUGAGGCAUAAAUAAUGAAAUGAAAGUAUAAAUAUAUGAAAUGGAGAUAUAAAAUAUGAAAUAUAUGAACGGGAGGUAUAAAAGUUAGAAAUAUACAAAAAUAUGAAUUAUUCAGUUCGAUUAAGCUAAUUUUGGUUAAGCGAGAGUACAAAAAAAUUGAUAACCGGUGGUUAAUUCGGUUUUCAGUUAACUCAGAUUUUGGUUAAUUUGGGUUCGGUUUCGUCUGUUUUCGGUUUGGAUUAGGUUAACGAUUUAGUUAUUGCUCAGCGAUAACCGAUUUUGGUUAAUAAUCGAUAGGUGCGCGCGAUGUGGUGGGAAACAUAGGCAUUGCCACAUUGUGCAUUGUUCGGUUGGUUAGAUUAUCUUCCUCAACCGAAAUCGUGGUCAUCGAUUAGUCAGUUUUAUUAACCAAUCCGUUUUCAGUUAAUCGGUUUGGUUUAUUCAGUUAGAUUGACGGUUAUUGGUUUGAUUCAUUUAAUUUCGGUUAAUAGUCAAAACCAAACUUAGGCUAAAACUUUUUAUUAGAAAUACAUGAACUUUAGGUAUAACUACAUGAAAUAGAUGUAUAAGUACACAGAUUUGAGGCAUAAAUACAUAAAAUGGGUGUAUACAUAUGAAAUACAUGAACUGAAGGUAUAAAAGCAAGAAAGAUACGAAAAUAUGAAUGGUUCGGGUAAGUUAAUUUUGGUUAAAUGAGGGUACAAAAAAUCGAUAACCGUUUUUGGUUAAUUGAGGUUUCGGUUAAUCAGGUUUUGGUUGUUUCGGUUCAGUUUCCGGUUAACGAUUCAGUUAUUACUCACUCUUAAACACUCUUAAUCACGUAACAUAUCAAUU
rnacentral:lncRNA from 1 species